UAAAUUCUUACUUCAGUCAAACAGAGUUUGCCUGAGCGCGUGUUUCCAUCUCAUUGCCGGCGAAUUUGAGGACUUCUCCUACGCACUUUCUUGGCCAGUUGAUUGAAACAGAAGCAUGAGAAAGUCACGGAUAACUUAACAGCAAGUAGUAAUCUCCUAGGAACUCUCAUUUUGUUGAUUCCUUUCCAAGAUUCAAAGAAAUGCUGUAUUUGGUUGCCUCUUCAGUCUUUGUAUACACCUAACUAGAUUAACCCGCGGGUUGCUGCAGAUGAACUAUAAAAAGACUGAAAUUGAUUGGAGUAGAACCCAUAAAGUAUACAGGAAAAUUAGUUUUGAGGGGAUUUUUUCAUUGAGUAGAAUUCAUAAAGUAUACAGGAAAGUUAGUUUUGAAGAAUCUAAACGGUGUGGCUUUCAAAUGAAGAAGAUCUGCGGUCCGUUUGGUUUAUGCCUCAACUCACCCUACCAAAAAAUUGGGCAUUCCAAAUGCCCUACCACUCAAUACACAUCAAAAUUAAGGUUGAAAACAACAAAGUUGAUGUGGCUGAAUCAUAGAAGAGAUAACUAGCAAUAACGGCUUUUCAAAAAAUAAAAUAACUAGCAAUAACUGCAGUUAGAGUAGAUUAAACUGUAUAAGAACAUAGGAUAUGCAUGGAAGGAAUGUGUCUUGUGUGUAUUCAUGGGUUUCCGCUUUGAUGUUACUUUCCUAGAGUCCAGGGACAUCUGUUGCAGCUUUAACCUCGUAGUUUGAGACCGCGGUCUUAUCUUUUAUGCCGAGUCUUCUCAUCACUGCCUUCUUAUUAGGGAGCACAGCACAUGACGAUCCACAGACAUGGUGGAGAAAGAUUUCUACACAGGGGCAAGGAGCACCUCAUCCCCGACAUCAGUGUGAUCUUUAACUGGCAGGUCGGUGUUCUUAUCAAAGGGGAAUGGCUCCAGUUUUGGCUGCGCUGCUUUCAGGAUCAUUUCAAUUGGCAUUUCUGGCUUUGAUCUUUCCAAAGGCGCCACUGGAUCAACACUUGGGUCAUGACCCUGCAAAGAGUUAUAGAUUAUUUAAAAUAGGCUUGCAAAUGACACAUCUGUUUUAUUUUAAACAUGCAUGGGUGGCACUAACCAGGUUAGCAUGCAUUUUCUCAACAAAAGUUUGGAAAGUGGCAUAGUUCUGUCCCUCCAGUAGCUCAUUCGAUAACCGGAGGUAGGUGAACCCAAACAGUUUGUGCUCAGGAGGGCCAUUCUUGUUGAUGCCUUUCGGUCUCGCGUUCCUGAGUAUUGUGUUGUAAGCAGUGGCAUCAAAUCGACCGAGUGCGUUUUCGCACGCCACAUGUAAACCCUCUCUCCAUCCAGCACUCAGCACCUAAGGUUUUUGAUGAGAAGUGCUUCAGUGUUUCCGUAAAAGAUAAUUGUAAAUUCCUGAGCCAUAAAUACUGGGCGGUUGCUAAUGCUGUGGUUACCUGUUGGACUAGUUCUUCUGGUGCGCUCUUCGCCUCUUCGCUUUGCUCCGAGUCCCUCAUCUCUGCACAAGUGAAGUUCAUGCUAGCAUGAUGCCUUGUGAGCAUGCGUGCUAUGGUUCUGUAGCCGUCUCUGUCAUCUAAGUUGUAGUACCCGGCUGUGAGCUCGGCUGCAUGGUUUGGAACCCUGUACCACCAGUGAAUGCCAGAGAUCUGCAACCAAACAUUGGAUCAUGUCUCAUUACAUUCUAGAUUAAGCAAUCUGCACCCUGCAUCCCAAGAAGACCUUGUUUGCUUCGUCCAAGACCUUGUCACCGUGCUUGAUCAGUUUGUUGGAGUACCAUGACAGGAAAAACUUCCCCUUCUCGGUGAGGUAUGUUCCGUUGUCCUUGAAGAAUUGGGUUUUCUCGGGAGUGUCGUUGUACUCUCCAGCAUCGUCUGGCAAUUCCCACUCAGGAUGGCCAGCCUUUGCCGCUGCUGCUUUGAAGUCUGCUUCCAGAGAGCGGCGGCAGCGGCGCUCCCUUCGGACCCCCCCCCACACCCCUCUCAGAUCUGAAGUUUUGAGGCCCGGAUUCGAUCUCCAAUCCCUCCUACUAGGAUGGUUUGGCUUCUCGACGAUGUCUACGACACGAAACACCGGGCCUACAUGAUGCGCGAGAAGGAGAUGAAGCUUGAACCUUUGAAGAUUCGGUAUCACGGGGUCUCUGGUCCUGCCAUGCCUUACGAUGAGCGGUACACACCGUACAUCAAGCAGGCAGGACUACUCCCGUGGAUUCAGUUGGUCAGCCGGUCCACGCCGAAUCUGAACGCUCCACUGGUGUCCGCUCUUGCUGAUUGGUGGAGGCCGGAGACGCAUAGUUUCCAUCUUCGGACUGGGGAGAUGACCGUGACGCUCGAGGAUGUCUCGUUGAUCACCGAUCUUGCUAUCGACGGGAUGCCUCUCUGUAUGAGCACCGAUUCUGAUGGGUGGCGCGAGAAGAUGAUUGCUCUUAUCGGUAUGGCUCCUACCGAGGCUGAGGCUGAUGUAGAGGAGGGAGAAGAGAAGAAGAAGAAGAAAAGGAAAGCAUCCGGAGCUGCUUUCACGUGGAUUCAAACUCACUUUGCGACGUGCCCUCCGGAUACCACUGAUGACAUGAUCCAGACACUGUUGGAAAUAUGCCCUAGAGGCAAUAAUAAAUUGGUUAUUAUUAUAUA